rnacentral:rRNA from 1 species
AGCGAACGCUGGCGGCAGGCCUAACACAUGCAAGUCGAACGAAGUCUUCGGACUUAGUGGCGGACGGGUGAGUAACACGUGGGAACGUACCUCUUGGUUCGGAACAACUCAGGGAAACUUGAGCUAAUACCGAAUGUGCCCUUCGGGGGAAAGAUUUAUCGCCAUUAGAGCGGCCCGCGUUAGAUUAGCUAGUUGGUGGG